AACGAACGCUGGCGGCAUGCCUAACACAUGCAAGUCGAACGAGACCUUCGGGUCUAGUGGCGCACGGGUGCGUAACGCGUGGGAACCUGCCCUUAGGUUCGGAAUAACUCCCCGAAAGGGGUGCUAAUACCGGAUAAUGUCUUCGGACCAAAGAUUUUUCGCCUUUGGAUGGGCCCGCGUUGGAUUAGCUAGUUGGUAGGGUAAAAGCCUACCAAGGCGACGAUCCAUAGCUGGUCUGAGAGGAUGAUCAGCCACACUGGGACUGAGACACGGCCCAGACUCCUACGGGAGGCAGCAGUGGGGAAUAGUGGACAAUGGGCGAAAGCCUGAUCCAGCAAUGCCGCGUGAGUGAUGAAGGCCUUAGGGUUGUAAAGCUCUUUUACCCGGGAUGAUAAUGACAGUACCGGGAGAAUAAGCUCCGGCUAACUCCGUG
rnacentral:rRNA from 1 species